AAAAGGAUGUUUUUCAGAAACAGAUGGAUCAGAAAGUAUCAUGGGACAGCACUCAGUCAGUCGUAUGUCUGGAAUUCCGCUAGUUCUGAACUAUUCGUGAUUGGCAAAAGUUCACUACUAGCAGAACUCGGAUAUACAACUGAAUUCUCAACGAAAGCUCAAGAAUAGUUUGGUCUCACAUGGCCUGCCAUUGGACAACUGCUAUAUUCACGUGAUCUACUUAUUGGAUGAAGUACAAGAAGUUAAGACCAUCCUUGGAUGUGUUA